GGUUAUUGCUUCUUGUAUUGGUAUUCAGCUCGACCUAUGCAGAUGCAAGGAAUUUAAUCGGGGUUAAUUCGUCCAUAGAUAUCAAGCUACCAAGUGAAGGUAAAGUCUCAGGAUCGGUUGGAAGGAAUGAACAGAUAUGCACAUUUUGCGAAGAAUUCACUGCCCAGGCCACCUAUUAUCUUGGUGAAAACAAGACACAUGCUGAGAUAAUUGAGACCCUUCAUAAAACA
rnacentral:misc_RNA from 1 species